rnacentral:rRNA from 1 species
UACAUAUUGACCCACACCAAACCCGCCCGGGAAUUACGAGCCCAAGCUUAAAACCCAAAGGACUUGACGGUGCCCCAUCCCCCUAGAGGAGCCUGUUCUAUAAUCGAUACCCCCCGAUUUACCUCACCACCCCUUGCUUACUCAGCCUGUAUACCUCCGUCGCAAGCUCACCAUGUGAACGUACUCAGUGAGCUAACAGGUUUAACACCCACACGUCAGGUCAAGGUGCAGCCCACGGGGUGGCAAGAAAUGGGCUACAAUCUCUACCCUAGAGCAAACAGAGUACUACCUGAAACAGUCAUUGAAGGCGGAUUUAGCAGUAAAAAGAAAAUAGAGAGUUCUUUUUAACUUGGCCCUGGGGCGUGUACACACCGCCCGUCACCCUCUUCAAAAACCCAUAUAAACGUAACUAACACCCCACCAUCAUACAGAAGAGGCAAGUCGUAACACGGUAAGCGUACUGGAAAGUGCGCUUGGAACAAAAUGUAACUUAAUAAAAGUCUCUUGUUUACACCAAGAAUAUGUUAGCUAACCCUAACCAUUUUGAGCCUAAAAUCUAGCCCCACCAACCCGAAUGAUCUUUUCCCCACCCCCCCCCCCCCCCAAAAAAAACAUUUUACAGCCUAGUAGAGGCGAUCAAAAAGCACCCAGGAGCCUUAGCAUAAGUACCGCAAGGGAAAGAUGAAAUAGAAAGAAACAAACCUAAA